GCAUGUAUGGCUGAGUGGUUAAAAGCGACAGACUCAUAAUCUGUUUUUAGAACGUAGGUUCAAAUCCUACUACAUGCA
rnacentral:tRNA from 1 species